rnacentral:rRNA from 1 species
CUACGGAGGGUGCAAGCGUUAUUCGGAAUCACUGGGCGUAAAGGACGCGUAGGCGGGUUGGCAAGUCAGAUGUGAAAUCCUACAGCUUAACUGUAGAACUGCAUUUGAAACUGCUAACCUAGAGUAUGGGAGGGGGGGAUGGAAUUAGUGGUGUAGGGGUAAAAUCCGUAGAUAUCACUAGGAAUACCGAAAGCGAAGGCGAUCGCCUGGAACAUAACUGACGCUAAGGCGUGAAAGCGUGGGGAGCAAACAGGAUUAGAAACCCUAGUAGUCC